rnacentral:tRNA from 1 species
GGGGUUGUGGCUCAGAGGUAGAGCACUCGCCUAGCAUGUGUGAGGCACUGGGUUCGAUCCUCAGCACCACA